rnacentral:tRNA from 1 species
GGAGAGGUUCCCGAGUGGCUAAAGGGGGCAGACUGUAAAUCUGCUGGCUCAGCCUACGUUGGUUCGAAUCCAACCCUCUCCACCA